UAUGACGUCAGUUGUCAAGUUUAUAGCAGGUUUAGCAGAAUCAUUGGUUAGAAACGCAUCAAAGAAGUGAUGUCGCAAAAGAAGUCAGUCCGUUUGUUGCGGAAUUUUUAACAGUUUGUCUACAAUUUUUCGAAUUCAUUACAUAAUUUGCGUGAUUUAACAUUAUGUCUGCCAUAUUUAAUUUUCAGAGUCUACUGACUGUAAUAUUGUUGCUGAUAUGUACCUGUACUUACAUCAGAGCAUUGGCACCCAACUUGUUCGACAAGCGACUGGGAAAGGUUGGUUUUCAGGGUACUUUUUGGAAAUGUGCUAGGAUUGGCGAAAGAAAGAGUCCAUACGUGGCUUUUUGUUGUGUCUUUAUGGCCUUUAGUAUUUUAUUUUGGUCAUAACAUUCAUAACAUUCCAAUGUGGGUCAUUUUGGCAGAUGCAUUUGUGCUUUAAUGUAUUUGUGUACGAAGGAUGAAGAUAUCACUGAAUGUACACAUGCAAAUCUCAAGAUGACAGCUGAGCAUAUCCUAUACAAAAACUGGCACGACAAAGCCGACUUAUUUAACACGGUUUUUUUUAUUUAAAAAGCGAUACAUCGGUCAUUCCUCGCAAUUAACCACUUAUGCUAUACCUAUAAUGUGGUCUUGCUUCGUUACCGACAUAUAAGGUACAGUUUUGUCUACAAGUAAUUUAAAAAAAUACAUAAAAUAACCGAAGUGAUACCUACGAUAUAUCUUCCUAGAGUGUUCGGUAUACUAUUAUAUGCACUACGGAUAUGAAUCUUAUUUCGGAUAUGACAUGAUACGCUCGCUAAGAUGCCAAGUACAAUAUCAAUUCGCUCGUUCUCAAUCUCGCUCUCUUACAAUCACAAUAAACAAAGAUAUUAUCGUUUUACCUCUCUUACAUACAAAUUAGUAUGCUAAUUAUUUGUCUGCGUUUGGGUACGAUCGCAUAAUUGCUCGAAAAGGUCAUGUGAUUCAUCGAUGAAGACAUAUUACAAUGUGGCAACGUAAUGGAUGUUUACUUUAACUGAAUCGUCAUUGUUGUUGCGAGAUGUACAUCCACAUCAAGAUUGUGCAAUUCGCGCAUAAAUAAUCAAGCUCUCUGGAUCACAUUCUCGUCAACGAAAAUGACAGCUCAUUUGAGAUAGACACCCUGCAUGUAUAAGGCUUUUGACGCUAACGGUAUAAAAUUACCCCAAGUUACCUAUUAAUCCCACAAAGACAAAGAGAAAUCACUCGUUCGUCGAACAAUAAAAAUUUCCCUUUCCUAUUCUUAAUUCUCGGACAGCGACGUCAAGAUUCUUUUAAAUCCAAAUUUCUUUAAGA